rnacentral:misc_RNA from 2 species
GGUUGUGCCGACCAACGGUCGGCACCCACCAGGAGCCGGCAUACCGCGCUUCGGUAGGUGCCGACCGUUGGUCGGCACAACA